UAUUAAAAUUUUUAUCUAUUUCUAUCGCUAAAAAUUAAUAUGUUUGAUAGAAUACUCAGACAGUUACUAUCUCAUUCUGAUGUAAAGUGACUAGUUUCUAACAAUAGAAAUGAAUGAAACUUUUAACG
rnacentral:pre_miRNA from 1 species